CCUACGGGUGGCAGCAGUGGGGAAUAUUGGGCAAUGGUCGCAAGCCUGACCCAGCAACGCCGCGUGAAGGAAGAAGGCUUUCGGGUUGUAAACUUCUUUUCUCAGGGACGAAAAAAGUGACGGUACCUGAGGAAUAAGCCACGGCUAACUACGUGCCAACAGCCGCGGUAAUACGGAGGUGGCAAGCGUUAUCCGGAUUUACUGGGUGUAAAGGGAGUGUAGGCGGGAAAGCAAGUCAGAUGUGAAAACCAUGGGCUCAACCUGUGGCCUGCAUUUGAAACUGUUUUUCUUGAGUACUGGAGAGGCAGACGGAAUGCCUAGUGUAGCGGUGAAAUGCGUAGAUAUUAGGAGGAACACCAGUGGCGAAGGCGGUCUGCUGGACAGAAACUGACGCUGAGGCGCGAAAGCGUGGGGAGCAAACAGGAUUAGAUACCCCAGUAGUC
rnacentral:rRNA from 1 species